rnacentral:rRNA from 1 species
GAUGAACGCUAGCGGCAGGCUUAAUACAUGCAAGUCGAGGGGCAUCAAGGUACACGAAAGUGUAUUGUUGGCGACCGGCGGACGGGUGAGUAAUAGGUAGGUAACCUACCUCAUACUGAGGCAUAGCUGGGAGAAAUUCCAGGUAAUCCCUCAUGAGGUUAUAUGACACAUGUGAUAUAAUCAAAGGUAUCGCAAGGUACUGGUAUGAGAUGGGCUUACUGACCAUUAGCUAGUUGGUGAGAUAAGAGCUCACCAAGGCGAAGAUGGUUAGGGGUUUUGAGAGAGAGAUCCCCCACAUUGGAACUGAGAUACGGUCCAGACUCCUACGGGAGGCAGCAGUAGGGAAUAUUGGGCAAUGGGCGGAAGCCUGACCCAGCCAUGCCGCGUGAAGGAAGACGGCCUUAUGGGUUGUAAACUUCUUUACUAUGCGACUAACUAGAUUUACGAGAUAAUUCUAUAGAAUGUAGCAUAGCAAAAGCACCGG